rnacentral:rRNA from 1 species
UACGUAGGGUGCUAGCGUUGUCCGGAUUUAUUGGGCGUAAAGAGCUCGUAGGCGGCUCGUUGCGUCGGCUGUGAAAACCCGCAGCUCAACUGUGGGCUUGCAGCUGAUACGGGCGGGCUGGGAUUCGGUAGGGGAGACUGGAAUUCCUGGUGUAGCGGUGAAAUGCGCAGAUAUCAGGAGGAACACCGGUGGCGAAGGCGGGUCUCUGGGCCGAUAUCGACGCUGAGGAGCGAAAGCGUGGGGAGCGAACAGG